GGUAAGGCCUUUCGGGGUACACGAGCGGCGAACGGGUGAGUAACACGUGGGUGAUCUGCCCUGCACUUCGGGAUAAGCCUGGGAAACUGGGUCUAAUACCGGAUAUGACCUCCUAUCGCAUGGUGGGUGGUGGAAAGAUUUAUCGGUGCAGGAUGGGCCCGCGGCCUAUCAGCUUGUUGGUGGGGUAAUGGCCUACCAAGGCGACGACGGGUAGCCGACCUGAGAGGGUGACCGGCCACACUGGGACUGAGACACGGCCCAGACUCCUACGGGAGGCAGCAGUGGGGAAUAUUGCACAAUGGGCGAAAGCCUGAUGCAGCGACGCCGCGUGAGGGAUGACGGCCUUCGGGUUGUAAACCUCUUUCAGCAGGGACGAAGCGCAAGUGACGGUACCUGCAGAAGAAGCACCGGCUAACUACGUGCCAGCAGCCGCGGUAAUACGUAGGGUGCAAGCGUUGUCCGGAAUUACUGGGCGUAAAGAGUUCGUAGGCGGUUUGUCGCGUCGUUUGUGAAAACCAGCAGCUCAACUGCUGGCUUGCAGGCGAUACGGGCAGACUUGAGUACUGCAGGGGAGACUGGAAUUCCUGGUGUACCGGUGAAAUGCGCAGAUAUCAGGAGGAACACCGGUGGCGAAAGGCGGUCUCUGGGCAGUAACUGACCCUGAGGAACGAAAAGCGUGGGUAGCGAACAGGAUUAG
rnacentral:rRNA from 1 species